GACGAACGCUGGCGGCGGGCUUAACACAUGCAAGUCGAACGGAAAGGCACUGCGUGUGUGGGGUGCCCGGGGGGCGAACGGGGGGGGAAGACGUGAGUAACCUGCUCUAGACUUUGGGAUGACUUCAGGAAACGGGAGCUAAUAUCGGAUAGGAUCUCCCGCUGCAGGGAGGGGGUGGGAAAGUUUCGGCGGUUGGGGAUGGACUCGCGGCUUAUGAGCUUGUUGGUUGGGGAGUGGCUUACCAAGGCUUUGACGGGUAGCCGGCCUGAGAGGGUGAACGGCCACAUUGGGACUACGGUACGGCGCAGAGUGCUACGGUAGGCAGAAGUGGGAAGUAUUGCCCAGCGGGCCCAAGUCUGUUGAAGCAACGUUGGGUGCGUGAUGACCGCCUUCUGGUUGUAAAAAGCAUUCGCCUGUGACGAAGCGUGAGUGACGGUAAUGAGUAAAGAAGCACCGGCUAACUACGUG
rnacentral:rRNA from 1 species